rnacentral:rRNA from 1 species
AUUGAACGCUGGCGGCAGGCUUAACACAUGCAAGUCGAGCGAGCGGCGGACGGGUGAGUAAUGUCUGGGAAACUGCCCGAUGGAGGGGGAUAACUACUGGAAACGGUAGCUAAUACCGCAUACCAUCAGAUGUGCCCAGAUGGGAUUAGCUAGUAGGUGGGGUAAUGGCUCACCUAGGCGACGAUCCCUAGCUGGGCUGCGAGGAUGACCAGCCAGCCUGGAACUAGGACACGGUCCAGACUCCUACGGGGGGCAGCAGUGGGGAAUAUUGCACAAUGGGCGCAAGCCUGAUGCAGGCAUGCCGCGUGUGUGAAGAAGGCCAGCGGGUUGUAAAGCACUUUCAGCGAGGAUGCGUUACUCGCAGAAGAAGCACCGGCUAACUCCGUGCCAGCAGCCGCGGUAAUUC